UCAAUUUAUUGUUGUAAAUUAGCAUCCAAUUGGCAUGUCCACUAAGUUUCCUAUUCAAUGCAUUAGCCACCACAUUGGACUGUAUUGGAUAUCAAGAUCAUAAUCCUUGAUUAAUUCUAAUCAUCUUUGUUUCCUCAAAUUUAAGUCCUUAUUCAAAUUUAAUUCCUUAUUAUAAAAAUAUAUUUUAAAUUUUUGUGAUCAAUAAAUAUUUCACACCUCACACUAUAUAAAUAAUGCCUCUAGAUUUUCAAAGCUAACACUAUUGUAGCCAACUCUAGGUCAUGUGCUGGACAAUUCUUCAUCAUUAGUGUUGAUAUUAAGCUCUAUUAAACUAUGAAACAAGAUAAUAAUGUAGUUGGGCAGAAGUACAAGUAUGUAAGAAUAUAAAUUUUUUUGGAUCCUUAAAAAACAUAAAAAUAAGAAUAUCCUUAAAAUCUCUAGCAAGGCCAAUACAAGCCACGAAAUAUGGAUUCCUUCUGAGAUAACCCUUCAUAUAUAACUUUAUUACUCCUUUAUCGUGUUUACUCAUUACAUCAAUUUAAAACUAGCACCCACCUCAAAGGUAAAAUGUUGUAAAAAAAAUUGAUUUACUCAUUUAAGAGGAAAAAUUGAAUAUAUCUAUACUACUGUAAAAUGUGAAUUGUAAUUCUGCCAGUAAGCGAUCCUCAUUUUUUUUUUAAUUAAAAUUAAUCUGCACUGUUUGAUUUUGUGCCUCUUCAUAUUCCUCUCCCGUCUUCCCAUUUCUUUCUUCGACUUCGAGUGAGGAAUUUUGAAACCAUUUCUUUUUUCAGCUUCGCAUGAGGAGUUUUGAAAGAGUCCCUAAAAGGACCUUCUUGGCCUUCUCCUCUCUGAUAGGAAGUCAGGCUUCAUGUCAGGAGUUUUGAUAGAGUCGGUAAAAGGACUUUCUUCUCCUUCUCCUUUUGGAUUGGAGGUUACGAUGGAUUCCUCCUCUCAUGGUGGGAAGGAGAUAACAAACUGAGUUGUUGAAAUCGAAAGUCAUGACGGGAUUGGAAGUCACGAUGAGAAUUCGCUGAGAAGGUAAAGAUUGUUUUCUCCUUGAAUGCUUUUUCAGGAUUGUAAAUUCUAUGUUUUUUUUUUUAAUUCAUUGAAACGCUUAAUUAAUUACUAUUCGGUGAUACUUAAGCUAAAUCUUUCUUAAAUCCUACUACCAAACAACAUUAAUUUGUUACAAUUCGGAGAAGAGGUGUUUUGUGUGGCAUUUCUUGGUGUGGUGGUGAUGAUAUCUUCACUUAGGACUGCAACUUCGAUACGAGUAUAUCAGAAAUGGGCACAAUCGUAAGCCUUGCAACAACCACCUGAUUAUUUAUUUACUUAUUUAUUAGUUCAUGUAAAUUAUAUAAAAAAGCUUGAAGUGUUUUUUUUCCUUGUGUGAACUAUAUCUUUAGUCAAGCGAGAAAGAAGUUUGGACUUCCUGAGAAGCACAACGAUUAUGUGGUGAGAGCUAAGUCAUUCCAUAAUAAAGAAGAGACUCUUCAUAUACUUGGAGAGUAAGCCAUGUCCAGGAACCCAGAUGAGUUAUAUUUCAAGAUGAUAAGUUUGAGAGUGAUUGAUGGAGCACAUAAACCAAAGAGUCAAGCAAAUAAGUAUAGCCACGAUGAACAACCCAUGCUGAUGAGGACUUAAGGUAUUGGAUAUGUCAUUCAAAAACUUUAGACUGAGAAUAAGGUUAGUAUUAGGGUAACACUCUUUUUCUAGCUAGAUGAAACACUGUCAUUUCAAUUGCUUAUUUCUUUCUUUCUUCUUUUACAUAGGUUGCAUUUGCUUUGGAGAAAAUUGAUAAGAAAUAUUUUUUAAAUCACAGUUAAAUUUGAUCAUUUUGAUUUAAUUGUGAUACAUAAAAAAUUGAUUUUAUGAAUGAAAUUCUAACUUAUGUGUUUCUUAUGUGCUUUUGCUGAAACCCAAGGAAAAACUAAAGUAAAACCCGAAGCCUGAAUUAAAUGGUUAUUCACUUUCUCCUCCAAACAAAUGUGAAAAGCUAUUUUCAAUUCAUGUUCUUUAAUAUCUCCUUUUCCAUUUCAUUUUUAUUUCC